GACGAACGCUGGCGGCGUGCUUAACACAUGCAAGUCGAGCGGAAAGGCCCUGCUUGCUGGGUACUCGAGUGGCGAACGGGUGAGUAACACGUGGGUGAUCUGCCCUGCACUUCGGGUUACGCCUGGGAAACUGGGUCUAAUACCGGAUAGGAGCCCUUUUGAGUGUGAUGGUUGGAAAGUCUUUUCGGUGUAGGAUGAGCUCGCGGCCUAUCAGCUUGUUGGUGGGGUAAUGGCCUACCAAGGCGGCGACGGGUAGCCGGCCUGAGAGGGUGGACGGCCACAUUGGGACUGAGAGACGGCCCAGACGCCUACGGGUGGCAGCAGGGGGGAAUAUUGCACAAUGGGCGCAGGCCUGAUGCAGCGACGCCGCGGGGGGGAAGACGGCCUUCGGGUUGUAAACACGUUGCGCGAGGGACGAAGCUUGUUGUGACGGUACCUGGAUAAGAAGCACCGGCUAACUACGUG
rnacentral:rRNA from 1 species